rnacentral:misc_RNA from 1 species
CUGAAGCUAAAAAAUCCACAGGCAGCCAUGUGAUCCAGCAAACAAGGGAUUUUUCAAGAUGUCAGGCCCCUAGCAUAAGAGAGAAACAGUUCUGGUGUUCAAAAAAUUGUGACUGAGUGCAUCACGGAUCACUGCAACAACAGAAACAAAGCCAAAGAGGACCCUUGUUUUAAGCCACACAAAUUAUGCCUAGUUGCAUGAACAAGCUUGAUGUGACAAAUGAUAGAAACUAACCCAAGCUGUUCAUGUUCCAAAGAAACUAAAAGCUGAGAACAUUAGGUCUGGUUCUGGAUACACGCCAACCACAAAAGAAAACUAGUUUAUUAGUCAGGUUUUCUGUUGCAGACUAAAGAGCAAGGGGAAGGGGUUGAAGUCAGGGGUGGAACCAUACACAUAGGAUAAUUGCAUAAGCCAGCAAACAGGCUAACUAAUACUCAAGUAUCUUUUCAUUCACAAAUAAAGUUAAUGCCCCUUGAUAUCUCAUCCAGCAUAUCAGGCUGGAGAACCAACCUCUCCCUAGCUGGGACAAAUACCAGCAUAUUAAGCACAAAACAAAUAAAGUUGUGACCCAUCAUCAGAUUACACACUAAAGUCCCGACUGGGGAUAUAUAUUAUGCAAAAUAGUCAGAAUAAAUUCAACAAAAGCAACAGAACUCUGCAAGCUAACUGAAUGUUAAAUUGAAAAAGAUCCAGCAGAAAAUAGCCUUACAUGGCUUCUGUCUUAGGCAAAUAAAACCCUGAUUCAUAUAUGAACCAGAAUGAUUAAGCAUAUGAAAAUGAUAACAUGAUUACCUUUUCUUUGAAAAUUUGUCUCAUACUUAGAAGCACGACCUACAAUUAACUAGGAACUUCAAAUUGAAAAGAUUGCAACGAAAUGAGAAGAGCAGAAUGUCUAAGGUUAUAGUUUUUCUUUUUGAACUGAUAUGUCAUAGAAUAAUUAAAACUGUAAAAGGGAAGAUAAGGCUUGAGGCCAGGCAAGGCUGUGACAUCAGAACUAGGAAAAGGGGAAACAAAUUGGAGGGGGAAAAAAUAGAAGCUAUUUUAUUCUUCCAAGAUACACAAAUCACGGGGUUUGGUAUGUUUUUCAUAUUAACUGGUUGUUCUAUCUGUUGCAAACUAAAUUGUUACUCCAUUAAAUAAUGCCUUCUAUAUUGAUUCCAUCAACUUUAAGAUACAAAGUAGUACAACAGAGAAGCUAAAUACAUAUACAUGAUCGAAGCUUUGUAUUUGGCAUUCUUGCAGUAAACCUUUUAUCCUUCAAAACUCAAGUAGCUCUUCACAAUGAACCCCAUUCAGCAUCCCAGUCCAUUGUUGCAAACUUAUUAGGAAAGGCAGGUUUCUGACCUAAGCCUGCCAGAACUUGUGAACUAAAGUCAUGAAAAAUAUCACAUAUAAGAAAUGCCCCUCCAUGUAAAACAAAGAUGAAUAUUCCUUUUGAAACACCAUUUUAUAACAAAGAUUUAAACUUUAGUCAUACAAAUUGAUUAUGAAUCAGUAUUACUCAAAACAUCAUCAACUUUCUGCAUCCCCUCAAUCAAAGAAAUGUAGGUGCUGUCAUCAGGAACAAUGCCUUUGCUAACCAUUUCUUUGAGGAGCUCUUCAGCAUGAUCUCCUUCCUGGUUUUUGCAUAAAACCUGUAUGAGGGCAUUAUAAGUGAGAAGUGUAGGAUUGAAUCCUAUACUCAGCAUCUCAUCUCUAACUCUAAAAGCAUCAUUCAUAUCACCUCUUCUGCUAUACCCACUAAUCAGAGUAUUGUAACUAAUAUGGUCAGGUUUGAUUCCUCUACUUUUCAUCUCUUCAAGAAGCUCACGAGCUUCUUCAACUUUUCCCUCCCUACAACGGCCUUGCAUUAGGGUAUUGUAAGUCACUUCAUCAGGAAUAACUUUCCUUCUAUCCAUCUCCUCCAACAAUGCAAAUGCACGAUCCAUAUUCCCAUUAGCACAGUGACCAUCAAUCAAGGCAUUGAACAAUAUAAGAUCUGGAAAUAUACCUUCACGGACUAUCUUUUCAUAAAGGUCAUCAGCCUCUUUCAUUCUAUUCCGUUUACCCAAAACAUAAAUUAGCGAUGUGUAAGUUACCCGUGUUGGCUGAAUGCCUCUACAUACCAUUUCAUCAUGGAGGCUAAAUGCUUUCUCUGCGUUCCCACAUCUGCAAUAUCCAUUAAUCAAGAUGU